GUAGAUCUGUAGGUGCUACUUUUGAACAUGUAUUCGACGUUCAGCGGUAACGACACGUCCAGUCGUAAAUAAUACAUUUUUUUAGAUAUCUAUAAAUCCCUUUAAAAUAAAAUUCAUCCAUCCUACGAUAUAGGUACUUCAAGGUUCGUGCUUACCCGGGUGGUUCAUUAACACUCGGUGUGACUUGAACCUGUUCCUACAUACUCGACGUGGUCCCUUCGGCUUUAGUUAGGUGACUGUCCAGUAAUUGGCGGUCAAUGCUGAAACAACAGGGGCCUGUGCUGUACCAACGAGGGACUAUGUUGUAAUAACAAGGGUCAAUGGUAUAACAAGGACGGUCUAUGUCAUAACAACAAGGGUCAAUGCUGUACCAACGACAGUUGAUACUGUAACGACGAGGGUCUACACUGACACAACAACGAGGGUCUUUGUAAUAACAACAGGGGUCUAUGUUGUCACAACGGCAAGGGUCUAUGUUAUAACUUCCUUUAUACGGGA
rnacentral:rRNA from 1 species